rnacentral:sRNA from 12 species
GUCGACGUAUUAUUAUAGCAUAUAAUACUUUAAGCCGCCAUUGGUAUCAGAAGAUGUAGCUGGAGUACAGGAUGACCGACCCAUAAGCUUCUGAAUAAAUCCACUUA